CGCAGGAUAGAGAAGUGGAAUCUCACAAGGCUCAUAUCCUUGGGAACGGCGGUUCAAAUCCGUCUCCUGCAA
rnacentral:tRNA from 2 species